rnacentral:rRNA from 1 species
UACAUGGGGUGCAAACGUUGCUCGGAAUUAUUGGGCGUAAAGCGCACGUAGGCGGUUUGUUAAGUCGGAUGUGAAAUCCCUCGGCUCAACUGAGGAAGUGCAUCCGAAACUGGCAGGCUUGAGUACCGGAGAGGAUGGCGGAAUUCCCCAAGUAGAGGUGAAAUUCGUAGAUAUGGGGAGGAACACCGGUGGCGAAGGCGGCCAUCUGGACGGAUACUGACGCUGAGACGCGAAAGCGUGGGUAGCAAACAGG